GCCAUCGUUCCAGACAUAGCGUCAGCCCUUCAGACGUGGGUCCGCACCCUCUGCAGCGCGGCGGUCUGUCGAAGGGCCGUCCCAGGGCUCAGUGCGGAGUUGAUGAGGGCAGAGCGGACAGCAUAUCUUGAGCACGCAAGCAACCAGCUUCUGCCCUUGGAUACCAGACCAGCUCUCGUGUGGCCUAUCUGAGGAAAGAAUUUAGGAUUGUAUUUACACUACGUGCUAGUUGUUAAAACAGCCACCAGCUCCUCUUUCAGAAGCAAAAGGACACGUUCCAGGUCGUUACAUAAGCUGACUUUAGAGCGCGUUUGCAGAAGCCAUUAACUUGGCUGCAGCUCUCACCUCACCCUUCAGAGGAGCGAGAGGAACAGCGCCCAGCUCUGCUCUCCUGCAGAGGAGCUGUGCCGAGCAGAAGAAACACCGCACAUCUCACCGCUUCGUCCCCAGUGGGAACUUGACCUAAAUUCUGUGGCACGCCGGGAAAACCAAUUUGAGAUCUUGCAGCUGAUUCAGCUAAGAGGAAACGGCGAGUGCCUUCCUGAGACUCACACCGCGCUUCUUAAUGAGGGCCAUUCCCAGGGCUGACUCAGAUGCGCUGUGCUUCUUUUCUCUGUCUUUAAAAAGAGAGUUAAUACUUCUCCCAGGUGAUAAUGAGAUGAGAAAUACUCAAAGAUUAAACGUAGCCCAUGAUAAACUUCACACGUUUAAUUUGGGAUAAACUGGCAGCAACUCUGAAAUUCCAAAAGCGACUCAGCUCACUGCUUUUAGUGCUGUUUUGAAACGUUAACGUCUACACUGCUACUACCGUUUGGUUUGCAAAUCCACAGCUGUUGAGCAGAAAUCAUUAGGAGAAGGGGGAGAAGCUGGAGUUUUUGUAGGAAACGAUCAGGAGCAAAUUAAUUCAUGUUGGUUAUGAAUUUUGCAUCAGUAGAUUUCUGUACAAAUCCAAUUGCAGUAAACAGUUUAUAUUCCCCCUCUGGCUAUUGUUUAGAGCUAUCUUCAGAUGCAUAUUGACCUCCCUGGAUUGCUUUACGGGCUGUUCACAUUGCAGAGAUUUUCGUUGCAGCUGAUACCCCACGGCUGGUAUCUCCAGGCAGAAAGCUGAUGCUGUGCAGAGCUCAGUGGAGCCGUGCUGAUUGAUAGCUGAGGGUCUCAUUUGUAACCGAGAAGUGGAAAAAUUGCUAUCGGAAGAACAGUUCUGGGGUGAAGGUGGAGUCAGUUGUAAGCUCCAUCAUAGAUUCAGACAUCAGCUUUGAAAUUUCCCCACGCAGGGAAAUGGCCAAUAAGUGGCACCUGCUUCCAUCACCCAGCCAUCACAAACCACUGCCCGCUCAGCUGUGCCAGCAGGUUGACCAUAGAGCAAUGCUAUACAUGAAAUCAGCAAAACAUCACAAGCAGAAAUUAAAAGAAAUGAAACCCAGAUCAUUUACCUUAUCCACUUCCAGCGCAGCUCCAGAAACAUUUUAUGAGCGCAGCCAAGGGAAGAGAAAGUUGUACCAGGGGAAAUCAAAGAAUCACUAAGAUUGGAAAAGACCACUAAGAUCACUGUGACUCACAUUGUCAACCACCAACCCACCCCCACCAUGCCCACUAGUAAUGUCUCUCAAUGCCACAUCUCCACCUUUCUUGAGCACCUCCAUGGACAGUGACUCCACCACCUCCCUGAUUAGCCUGGGUAGAUGGGACAUGAGAACAUCCCUAGAAUUGUGGAGAAUGUCUGGAAAAUAAGCCACUUGCAAUGGCUUUUCCCUCAGACGGCUGUCACUGACAUCAUCCUCACCUGAGGCCAUCAGAAAGCAAUUAAGGAGAGCCUUUAGCCUAGCAGUAAUAAUCUUAAAAUAAAAAUAGCCCAAUGGAGGCCCUCCUCAUGAAUUUCACUCCUCAGGGCUGCAUGUGGGUUAUUAAUAGCCAAUAUAUAUUUUUUUUUUCCCAGAAAUUCUUUGUGCCAUUUCCAAUAUCCUUUGUACUUCUGGUCGCUGGCUUGCUGAAGACCUCUUCUUGCCAGAGCUUUCCACGGUGUGCAGACACACAAGUAGUUGAUGAUGCCAACUUGCAUUUUGAUGCUUUUCCUCAAGAUUAAAUGGGCUACUGGCAGAGACAGACAACUCACUAACUUCAAAGCUUCCUGACUUGGCUAAAAAGAAACAAAUUGCUUCCCCAGCGAAUGCUCUCAAAAGAGCAAUGCAGGAUAAACCUGUGAUAUUUGCAUUAAUUCAUCUUUAAACAUAAACCUGAAUAGAUUCCGUUCCUUCAAUAUACUUUCACAUUAUUUAAACGGACUUAUUUUAACAGACAGUAACAUGUUUACUUUGGGGAUAUUUUGCAUUUCUAUUUACCUUUUGGCUGGUAGUUCAUUUAUAAGGGAAGAGGUGAUGGAACUAGAGCAGUAGAGGCUUACACGGGCUUUAGAAAGGAUUUACAUCUGAGGCCACUUUCAUCCCGAUUUUCUGUAGCUCUACUUUUUCCCAGUUUAGUGACAUUUAAGAGAACCUUUCAGUGUCAGAGUGCACCCGCAGUCUGGGCUGCCCGAGGAAAGUGGGGCUUCACUGCUCUUUGCCUGAUACCUGCUGCCUACAGGGCAGUUUUGAUCAGCAGAUAUCAAAGCAUUGCAGAGAUGCUCAGCUUCCUCCCAUUUUUCUGGUGGGAGAAAUAGAGACAUGGAGCGAAGGGAACAGCAGUGGAAGAAGGGCUGAUUUU
ensembl:lncRNA